rnacentral:rRNA from 1 species
AGUGAACGCUGGCGGCGUGCUUAACACACGCAAGUCGAACGGUAGCAGAUAGAAGCUUGCUUCUAUGCUGACGAGUGGCGCACGGGUGAGUAAUGUAUAGCUAACGUGCCCCUUAGAGGGGGAUAACAGUUGGAAACGGCUGCUAAUACCCCAUACUCCUUCUAUCUUAAUGAUAGUUGGGAAAUGUUUUUUCGCUAAGGGAUCGGGCUAUAUGGUAUCAGCUAGUUGGUGAGGUAAUGGCUCACCAAGGCAAUGACACCUAGCUGGUCUGAGAGGAUGAUCAGCCACACUGGAACUGAGACACGGUCCAGACUCCUACGGGAGGCAGCAGUGGGGAAUAUUGCACAAUGGGGGGAACCCUGAUGCAGCAACGCCGCGUGGAGGAUGACACAUUUCGGUGCGUAAACUCCCUUUAUAUAGGAAGAUAAUGACGGUACUAUAUGAAUAAGCACCGGCUAACUCCGUGCCAGCCGCCGCCGUAA